GUGGGUCCCCACGGCCCGGCAUCUCCCACUAUCCCUUUCCUGCCGGGGAGGCCGGGUAAGCCUGGGGCUCCCCUGUCUCCUUUGGCUCCUGCAAAGAAAAAGGUUUGAAAUAGUGAAUGGCACACAAGUAGGGGACAGGAAGAAGAAGGAUGAGGCUGCUAGCACAGGGAAGGGCUUGGGACGUUAUCGUGCAGGAAGGCAGAGUGAUGAUGAAAAUAAAAUGGAUGAAUAUUAA